rnacentral:rRNA from 1 species
AUACGGAGGGAGCAAGCGUUAUUCGGAAUCACUGGGCGUAAAGGACGCGUAGGCGGGUUUGUAAGUCAGGUGUGAAAUCCUACAGCUCAACUGUAGAACUGCACUUGAAACUACAGACCUAGAGUAUGGAAGGGGCAGAUGGAAUUAGUGGUGUAGGGGUAAAAUCCGUAGAUAUCACUAGGAAUACCGAAAGCGAAGGCGAUCUGCUGGGACAUUACUGACGCUGAGGCGUGAAAGCGAGGGGAGCAAACAGGAUUAGAAACCCCAGUAGUCC